UAUAGAAUUUAGCUUUGUUAUAUUAUGAAAGGGCGCGGUUAUUUAAUAACAGACUUAAUUUUAUGGGAGAAGCUGAUUAUCUCUUGAAAGCUUUUGAUCUCUACAAGUACUUUCAGUGCUGCAAAACAUGAGAAUAGAGAGAGAUUUCCACAACAGUUGUCUUCCCCACGAUUUUUUUAGCUGCUUUUCAUAAGUCUCCCUGAACUGGAAGCAAAAGAAUUUGAACUCCUGGCUGAUGCUGGAAGAAUAGGAGGUAGCCAUGGCUAAGAGGGCCUGUGCACACCUUUGGGUUGUGUGCCUUUAUCCCAUUCUUGGACCAGUAGGCUCCGCUCACUAUCAUCAUGCUGUUGUGAUCCCAUUUGAACUAUUGCUAUGCGCUUUAAAUAAGACUGCCCUUGAGGAGUAUCCAGAAGCUUCAGCUGAUGUUUAGUCCUGUUGCUCCUGAUUCUGGAGGUAACACAGAAUCGGCUUAACUAUUAGCUGUUUAGUAUCUGAUUGUUAAUAAAUUUAUCUAAUACCUUUUUAAUGCCUCUCAAACGGGCAAUCAUUGCUAACUUUCUGGAAGCAAAUUCAAUAGUUUAAUCAUUUUAGAGUUGUAAAUGCUGUCAGCUGUUUGGCUUAUGAAAUAUCACUGCCUCAGGGGUUACACUGGUCACCAGUGUGCUUCUGGGUGAAAUUUAAAGUGUUGGUUGUCAUCUGUAAAGCCCUUCACCGCAUAGGACUGGAUUACCCUGUCUUCUCCCAGCUGUUUCUAUCUAUCCAAUCUGGUCUAGCAGGAUGGGUAUGUUCUGGAUCCCAUGAACUAUUGGAUGUCAGCUGGCAGGGACCAGAUGGCCCUUCUCUGCCAUAAUGCUUGCCCUCUGGAACAUUCUUUCUCCAGAGAAUGACUCUGUUGGCCUUUGGAAGGCCUUGAAGGCCUGGUGAUGAGCCUGGGCCUGGGAUCCUGAGUGUGUGAAGGGCCUUGUUUCCCUGGUUAUGUUGUCACCGACAGAUUAUAGUAUCUUCUGGCCUGCUAUUUGUGUUUAAUUUUUUCUCUGUAUUUUAAUUGUUUUCCCGGUUGUUCAUCGCCCAGAGUUACUAGUUUGAAAUGGGUGGCUAUACAAACUGAAUAAACAAUCAAAUUAAAAAAUGCUUGGUUCUAGUUAAAAAAAAAAAACAGCUUCCCAAUGUUUCUAUAUCUUUUAAAAAUCUGAAUCUAACCUUUGUACAUGAACAAAAUCCACAAAGAGCACAAACGUUUGUAGGUAUGAAAACAUAAAACCGAAAAGGCUUUUCUUUAACUCCAACAACCAUCUGUAGUUUGUAAACAAUGAACUGGCAUGAAUAAGUCUGUUUUUUUUCCCUUAUUUUUGCAUUAGGUGCUGAAUGACUCGAAAAGCAAACUGUGUAUUUGUAUACCUAGUGUUCACAGACCCCUCCUUCUCCUCCUCCUCUUCCAGCCAGCCAGCAAUACAAAGUAGGUCAUAGUGCAGCAGAGGCCACAGAAACCUAGAAGGAAAACUUUCCCAUCUCUCCCAAUUACUCAAAGGGAAUAAAUGUAAUUGUGUGGCACUGUAAGUGACCACUGUGGAAACAUUUCAGACUUUGUAAAAGGUAAUAAAAUAAAGCAGCUGGCACAAAUGAGUUCUUGAGAGUGCAAUUACACCCUAUAGACUUAUUUAAGUGAGAGUGCCUAUCACCACCCAUCUCUGCCAUUUUGGCCGCUCUAUGCACCGCUGUCCUUGCUCUGCUUGCCCGUUGACCUUCAUCAUCUUCUUCUUCCCACUGCUAAAGUGCAUCUGACCUGUCUCUUUGUGAAGCUGUGCAAAGCUUAUGCAGCCAGUAGCUGCCUCACAAACCGCCCGGUGAAAUGCGCCUUGCCACCAGUGGGAGGAAGAAGACUAUGAAGGUCAGUUGGGGUGGGCUAGGCAGUGGAGCACAAGGUGGCUUGGAGUGGUGGUGGUGUGGUGCAGGAACAAGGGAGCCCUGGGUGGCCAAAAUGGCAGAGACAGGGGUGGUGAGGGAGAAAGGUAUGGGGGGGGGAGUUGAGGCCAAAGUGAUCUUGGCAGGGCAGAACGAGUGUGAAAUCUUGAUCAAACUAUUACAACUGGGAUUACUGAAACUGUUGUUGCCAAUGCUAUGUCCACAGGAUGUUUCAGUUAGCAGCGGAAAUCCCAAUCCCAAUUAGGAUCAUUAAACAAAGACUUCCUGCAAUUUGUAACCCAGUAUAAACUGUCUCUUAUAUGUAAAUUCUAGAGUCCCAAUAAGGAGCAAGAUGUUAAUACAUGCAUACAACUCAGAUUUCUCUAGUCAAGAUAAAAGAUCAGCAAAGGUAUGACAGGACUAAGAGAUGCUUUCGGGACAAUCUAGCAAACCAUUGUGAACUUUUUCUAAUCUGGGCAGUCUGUAAGCAGUGAAAUACUAUUACAGACUCUGGGCAGUCUGUAAGCAGUGAAAUACUAUUUUUCUUAUUAAAUGAUCAAUGAAAUUGAAUCCUGUAUAUGUGUCUUUGUAUUUGUGUUUUCCACUCUUCUCCUGAAAACUAAAAUAAAGUACUAAAAGUAAAAAA